GACGAACGCUGGCGGCGUGCCUAAUACAUGCAAGUCGAACGCUGAAGGAGGAGCUUGCUUCUCUGGAUGAGUUGCGAACGGGUGAGUAACGCGUAGGUAACCUGCCUGGUAGCGGGGGAUAACUAUUGGAAACGAUAGCUAAUACCGCAUAAUAGUAGAUGUUGCAUGACAUUUGCUUAAAAGGUGCAAUUGCAUCACUACCAGAUGGACCUGCGUUGUAUUUGCUAGUUGGUGGGGUAACGGCUCACCAAGGCGACGAUACAUAGCCGACCUGAGAGGGUGAUCGGCCACACUGGGACUGAGACACGGCCCAGACUCCUACGGGAGGCAGCAGUAGGGAAUCUUCGGCAAUGGACGGAAGUCUGACCGAGCAACGCCGCGUGAGUGAAGAAGGGUUUCGGAUCGUAAAGCUCUGUUGUAAGAGAAGAACGAGUGUGAGAGUGGAAAGUUCACACUGUGACGGUAUCUUACCAGAAAGAGACGGCUAACUACGUG
rnacentral:rRNA from 1 species